rnacentral:lncRNA from 1 species
AUGCCUAAAAUUAGGCCUAAAAAUUAUACUCUUUUAGGCAGCUGUGCACCUGCCACUCACUUGAAGUCAAUUGGACCGACAGAUGCUGCUCCCAGAGGAAGGAAGAAGAGUGCGAGGGGCUUUGUGCUGAGGUAUCCUUGGAAGAAGGCCCAUAAAAACAUGGCAAUUAUCCUCAUCUCAGCUUGCCUAUUGAGAAAUAAUCAAACCUAUGAUGAGCCUUUUGACCUGUCAGACCUCUUAACUGAACUAUAACUGAAGAGAUUCACCAUAAAAAGGUCCAGCUGAGAAAGUGAAGAAGAAACCUGUCAGGAUGCCAUUACAAGCACUGUAUAUCAGAAACCCACUGGAUGGUAAGCCUAGCUCAAACACUAACUUUGUUUUUGCAAAGCAGGAAACGUUGCUUAAAUUCAUAU